CGAGCACGCGCGUGUGGCAUAUCAAUAAGCGGAGGAAAAGAAACUAACAAGGAUUCCCUUAGUAACGGCGAGUGAAGCGGGAAGAGCUCAAAUUUGAAAUCUUCAAGGUUCUACCUUGACGAAUUGUAGUUUAUAGAAGUGUUUUCUGUUAGUGGAGUGGCAAAAGUUCUUUGGAAUAGGACAUCAUAGAGGGUGAGGAUCCCGUAUUUGGUCAUUCCUUCUAGCUUUGUGAUACACUUUCAACGAGUCGGAUUGUUUGGGAAUGCAGUCCAAAAUGGGUGGUAAAUUUCAUCUAAAGCUAAAUAUUGGCGAGAGACCGAUAGCGAACAAGUACCGUGAGGGAAAGAUGAAAAGAACUUUGAAAAGAGAGUUAAACAGUACGUGAAAUUGUCAAAAGGGAAGCGUUUGACACCAGUGUUGUUUUUCCGAAAAUCAAUUACGAAUGUUUUGUUUUUGAGGAGUUAUGACUUCAUCGGCUUGCUCCUUUCUUUAUGAAACUUUCUUAAUGCACUUUUCGGUUAACAAGUCAACAUCAAUUUCUUUUGUUGUAAAAGGGUAUGAGGAAGGUGGCUUUACUUUCGGAGUAAAGUGUUUAUAGCCUUGUAACUCUGCAAUCGGAGAGAUUGAGGUCUGCAGCGUAGAUCCUUCGGGGUUAGAUACAUUUGUGCUAAGUUAUAGCUUUUCAUAGACAACUUGUUGACUAUGUUUAGUCUUGUAGCUUACUCGCUGACGCUAUUUUACCUACGCUUAGGAUGUUGAACUCUAUCACACACAG
rnacentral:rRNA from 1 species